rnacentral:lncRNA from 1 species
CGGGAUUAAAGGGUCCCCACAGGUGGUUGAUUUUUUUCACCCGGGACUAAAGGGUCUCUCACAGGUGGCUGAUUUUUGAUCCGGACUAAAGAGGAGCCCUUAGUCCCGAUUGUUAUUUGAUUCGGAACUAAAGCUCUUUUAGUUAUAGGCCAACUUUAAAUCGGGACAAAAGGGAAUGCAUGAAAAGUGGGUUCUUUGCGCUACGUGUGCUAGCUAGGCUUGUACCAGAAUAAUUAUCUGUACGUGUAUCCUGUCAUGAGUGCGCUUGGUUAGCUCAUGUGUGAUGCGAGUACUUUGUGUCAUAAAUAAUUGACAACAAUUGUAUCUUGUACAUGCAUGGAUCGGAGUGCAUAUGAGGGUUUAUGCAUGGAAGACAUAUAUGUACAAUAGCGGAUUUGCUUUGCUUUGGCAGCCUUGUUUGAUCGACUGAGAGUAGUGAAAAUUUUGCUGAGAUGUGUCCCGAUGGGAUGUCCCAGUAUAAUUCUGUUUAUUUUACAUGCUAGAUACCAUUUUCCAUGCACUCGAUGCGUGUAUAUGCUCCAACAGCAUUGGGCAGCAGCUUGGCUGCAAACUAGUUCCAGAAGGCUG